rnacentral:rRNA from 1 species
CUACGGGCUGCUCCAGUCAAGAAUAUUCCUCAAUGCGCGAAAGCGUGAAGGAGCGACGCCGCGUGCCUGAAGAAGUCCUUAGGGAUGUAAAAGGCUUUUAUAAAGGAAGAAACCAUGACGGUACUUUAUGAAUAAGGGGCUGCUAAUCACGUGCCAGCAGCAGCGGUAAUACGUGAGCCCCAAGCGUUACCCGGAAUUAUUGGGCGUAAAGCGUAUGUAGGCGUUUUAUUAAGUUUUUCGUCAAAUCCUGAAGCUCAACUUCAGGACUGCGAAAAAUACUGGUAGAAUUGAGAUCGGGAGAGGCAAGCGGAACUGCAGGUGUAGGGGUUGUAUCCAUUAAUAUCUGCAGGAACACCAAAUGCGAAGGCAGCUUGCUAGAACGAAUCUGACGCUGAGAUACGAAAGCGUGGGGAGCGAAUGGGAUUAGAUACCCGAGUAGUC